rnacentral:antisense_RNA from 1 species
GUAUCCUUCAGAAAGCCUGGGCAAUAAACCGAAGGCUCCGAAAAAGAGCAAAGUGUCUGCCAGGCACGAUGGCUCAUGCCUGUAAUCCCAGAACUUUGGGAGACCAAGGCAGGUGGAUCACCUGAGUUCGAGAGUUUGAGACAAGUCUGACCAACAUGGUGAAACUCUAUCUCUACUAAAAAUACAAAAUUAGCCAGGCAUGGGGGCAUAUGCCUGUAAUCCCAGCUACUCGGGAGGCUGAGGCAGGCGAAUCGAAUCGCUUGAACCCAGGAGGCACAGGUUGCGGUGAACUGAGAUGGCGCCAUUGCUCUCCAGCUUGGGCAACAGGAGUGAAACUCCGUCUCAAACAACAACAACAACAACAACAACAACAAAAACACUUUCACACCUGAAUGACUAAAUAAUUAGAAAUAAUAAGGGUUGGGGGGGGAGAAUAAAGCUACUGAAAUAUGGAAAGAAGACUAACACUACUUUUAAAGUGAUGUUCUACUAAUGUAGACCCAUACAUCAUAUCACCAUUACAUUAUUUAAGCAAUAAAGUUUGCACUGUAAGUGGCUCUUUAAACCCUUCCCUCCAUUUCUUUUCCCUCUC